rnacentral:rRNA from 1 species
GACGAACGCUGGCGGCGUGCUUAACACAUGCAAGUCGAACGGUGAAGCGCCUUCCUUUUUGGUGGGUGUGGAUGAGUGGCGAACGGGUGAGUAACACGUGAGUAACCUGCCCCCUUCUUCUGGAUAACCGCAUGAAAGUGUGGCUAAUACGGGAUAUUCUGGGUCUGUCGCAUGAUGGGUCUGGGAAAGAUAUUGUUUCGGUGGGGGAUGGGCUCGCGGCCUAUCAGCUUGUUGGUGGGGUGAUGGCCUACCAAGGCGGUGACGGGUAGCCGGCCUGAGAGGGUGGACGGUCACACUGGGACUGAGACACGGCCCAGACUCCUACGGGAGGCAGCAGUGGGGAAUAUUGCACAAUGGGCGCAAGCCUGAUGCAGCGACGCCGCGUGAGGGAUGGAGGCCUGCGGGUUGUGAACCUCUUUCGCCAGUGAAGCAGGCCUGCCUCGUUUGUGGGUGGGUUGACGGUAGCUGGAUAAGAAGCGCCGGCUAACUAUGUG